ensembl:lncRNA
AGACAAGGUCUCAGGGUUGCUUCCCAGUCCCUCGUUUCUCCUCCCUGCCGCCUUUCCCGCCGUCUUCUCUGAGGGCUCUGUUGGCGGUCCUGUCUUGCCUGCCAUUGUUCUGGACCCUGCACAUUUCAGAGGUCUAGAAGUCUCCUGCCCACCGUCAGCCAAGAGGAAAUGGCCAGGUCAGGACCCAGGCCCAGAUAGGAAUCCUUCCCCACGCCGGUGGCUCCAGAUCUUCAAGCUUGUGACCCCUAGUUCAGGGCCCACUGGGGUACCAAGGUGAAUGACUUUGCCUAGCUGCAAGCUAGAGUAGGAAGACAUGUACCGAGAACCUCAGUUAUAUGGUGAGGGCUGAGACCUUCCAGAAAAUCAGAUGGCAGCCUUCUUGCUGUGUCUUCAUACGGUCUUUGCUUAUGAGCUGCAGGAGACUGGGAAGACCCUCUGGAGGAGGAGAUGGCAACCUGUUUCAGAAUGCUUGCCUGGGAAAUCCUAUGGACAGAGAAGCCUUGAAGGCUUCAGUCCGUGGGGUCACAAAGAGUCAGACAUGACUGAAGUGACUGAGCAUGCACACAUACAUUUAGUAACUGACAGAAUGAUGUCUUUUCUUGUGUUGGUAAUUAUCUUUGCUUUUAGAACUCAAUAAAAA